CUGAUGCUGUGAUGAUCCCAUAGUUCAGCAGAUACCCAUGACGAUGAACCAUGUCUUUCGCUCCUAUCUGAUGCAUCCA
ensembl:snoRNA small nucleolar RNA snR60/Z15/Z230/Z193/J17